GAUGAACGUUGGAGGAGGGAAGAAUACAGGCAAGUCGAGCGAACAGACGAGGAGCUUGCUCCUCUGACGUUAGCGGCGGACGGGUGAGUAACACGUGGAUAACCUACCUAUAAGACUGGGAUAACUUCGGGAAACCGGAGCUAAUACCGGAUAAUAUAUUGAACCGCAUGGUUCAAUAGUGAAAGACGGUUUUGCUGUCACUUAUAGAUGGAUCCGCGCCGCAUUAGCUAGUUGGUAAGGUAACGGCUUACCAAGGCAACGAUGCGUAGCCGACCUGAGAGGGUGAUCGGCCACACUGGAACUGAGACACGGUCCAGACUCCUACGGGAGGCAGCAGUAGGGAAUCUUCCGCAAUGGGCGAAAGCCUGACGGAGCAACGCCGCGUGAGUGAUGAAGGUCUUCGGAUCGUAAAACUCUGUUAUUAGGGAAGAACAAAUGUUUAAGUAACUAUGCACGUCUUGACGGUACCUAAUCAGAAAGCCACGGCUAACUACGUG
rnacentral:rRNA from 1 species